rnacentral:rRNA from 1 species
GACGAACGCUGGCGGCGUGCUUAACACAUGCAAGUCGAACGGGAUUUAGUAGACAGAAGCCUCGGCUAAAGAUUACUAAUGAGAGUGGCGAACGGGUGAGUAACGCGUGAGCAACCUGCCUAUGACAGUGGGAUAGCCUCGGGAAACCGGGAUUAAUACCGCAUAAAAUCGUAGAAACACAUGUUUUAACGGUCAAAGAUUUAUCGGUCAUAGAUGGGCUCGCGUCUGAUUAGCUAGUUGGUGAGAUAACAGCCCACCAAGGCGACGAUCAGUAGCCGGUCUGAGAGGAUGAACGGCCACAUUGGAACUGAGACACGGUCCAACUCCUACGGGAGGCAGCAGUGGGGAAUAUUGCACAAUGGGGGAAACCCUGAUGCAGCGACGCCGCGUGAACGAAGAAGGUAUUCGUAUCGUAAAGUUCUGUCCUAUGGGAAGAUAAUGACAGUACCAGAGAAGAAAGCUCCGGCUAAAUACGUG